UUGGAGAUGAAUAUUCAGUUUGGCUGCAGGUCUGGGGGAAAAAAAAACAGUCAGUCCUAGGAGCAAGAGAUUGGAAACCAUGGUAGUAUGAAAAGAAGCUUGAUCUAGAUCUAGUGGUUAAAGCAGGGGAGGUCUGAUUGCUAUGUAAGGUUCUGCCACUGACUGCCAUUGACCUUGGGCAAGUCAUUUACCUUCCAUUUUGCCUCUCUUUUCUUAUUGGUAAAAAGGGGUUGAUAAUAUGCACAAGGCUGGAUUAAAGAAUUUUGGGGCCCUGUGCACUAUGGCAAUUAGGGGCCCUCCACCAUCCCUGGCCCUGGGGGCUGGGAGGGCAGGUCCUGGCCCCCAGAGUGGAGAGUGAUCCUGCCUGCAGCGGCUUCUGUCUCACAAAACUGGCCCAGCUCCCCACUUCAGCCUGUUGGCUCUUGUCACAUCAUGCAGGUGAUCCCCCGACCUUAUUCCCUUCCUGGUCCUGAGUUGUUUGUGUGUGUGUGGUGUUUCCCCUGGUGGUUAGAGUCCCCCCUGACAUCAGGGUCCUGUUCUACUGCACUGAGGGCACAUUGAUUAUUCUUGGCCUGAAAAUGCACUUGUCCCACAAGAGUGUUGGGAGGCCUCAUUAAUUAAUGUCUGUAAAAUAUCUGGAAAUCACUGCAAACCCUGGCAUAACUCCUGCCUUUGCAGCACAUGCCAGGCUGGAGGGGCCCACAAGUUCAUGGGCCCUGCAAGAACCAGGAGAAGAGUGAAGGUCCAGGAACUGCCCCUCCUCUGCACUGACUGGGAGUUCCCCUAGCUGGACUGAUGCCACAGGUGCAGCAAAGCACAGGAAGGUUUCUUCAAAAAUUGCCAGCCUGUGCCUGUCCCUUCCCUCAGCUCUCAUGGUGACCCCCGGACCAGCACAUCUACCCAGAACAGCAGCAGAGAGGUGACUUCUUUCCAAGGCCUCUGCCAAACACAGAGCCACCAAUGAAUGUAGGACAGGGACAGGGAGAGGGAAAGGCAGAGAGACACAAGGUUUUGAAGUGCUGCCCACUGACGGGCAGCUCCAGGCAGGGUGAAGAGAGGUCCUGCUGCUGUCUGUCCCCCACCACCUUGCACAGAGGUGGUGACUCCACCGCUUGAUGAGAAAUACAGCAGCAUCCACUCCAGGCUGCUUCCCAGGGUGCCCCUCUCCCCCAUGCCACAAAGCUGAUUCCAGGAGAAGGAAGAGCCACAGUGUUUUAAACCCAGAGGUAUGAGGCAGAGAAGAUCUUCAUCUUCUCUUUGGGCCAUACAACUGGCCCUUGUUUAGGAGUGCCUCCCUCCCCCGGGAGACAUCACCCCUCACUCAGUUUAAAUCUGCCUCUGGACACUGGUUUGUAAAACAUGCUACAUUUUCAAUGCCCUGUAACUUCUCUCCCCUUCUCUUCAUUGUGCCAAGGUCAUGGCACAAACCAUUUCCUCCAGUGUGAGCAUUAUGUUUCUCGGUUUUAUAGUUAAUAUUGAAUCUGUAAAUUGGAUUCCUUGCUAUCUCCUCUCCUCCUGCAAUAACCUAGAACAUUAGGUUACAUUCCUCUGGCCAACAAGUGCAGAACUGAUUACUGUGCAAAACCUUGAGAAAACAGAGCAGGAUGGGAUCCUUCAAGCAGAAAAGUGUGUUAUAAUAUGAAGCUAUUGUUACCCAAUCUGGGUUUUAAUUAACUACUUUCCUGUUUUGCUUACUACUUGCUGACUUAGCACCUAUUUUGUUUUUAGAUGAAUGUGAAAAGAGCAGAUGAUAUUAUUUAUCACGAUAAAUUUAGCAUGUUAUAAAA